AAGAAGUGCGGUGUAAUGUUAUAAUGUUAUUAUGUUUACUAGGGUUAGGGUAUUUUGUUUUUUCCGUUCCUGUGUUUGAGUUUAGUGGUUUAAUUAUUGUGAUUAGUAACUAAUUAUAGCCGUUGUGGUCAAGUUAACAUAGAUGAUUAGGGUAAUACUAUAAUUACGAUUUAUGUCCCUAUUUGGUAUUUCCUUUUUCCGAGAAUGAGAAGAGUAAGUAGUGAAAAAGAAUUUAGGAAGUUUCUCUUCAUCUAUAUAUUGACUCUGAGUAAGCCAGAGGCUUUGCUGGAGUCUAUUACUCUUCAUUUAUGUAUUUGAGAUUUAUGCUGGCUGAUGAUUGAUGAUGGUAUUGUGAAGAAACGAUAGCUAUGAGUACUCUAACCUUUAACAAUGGUGGUGUGUCGUGAGCUCGGUCCGAUGAACGUUACGGUGAGGUGUUUGUUGAGGUUUCCAAGUUUCAUUAGGUCGAUUGCAACAUUGGAGUUGAUUUUGCUUCGAUUCAAGCUAAAAUAUAUCAUCUGAUGGUAAGCUGGACUUUAAUGCCUACCAAGUGUUCGACAAAAUGCUUCUGGGAAAAGAAGGAAGCAACAACGUAAGCAGAGAAAUCGCCUUAAGGGUGGCUGCGGUUAUAGGACAAUCACUAUCUGAAACUCUGCAACUCAUCAUGUUCUUUUCCUUACGAGUUCUUGAACAGUUGGUGGAUCCACCAACAAGAAUCACCUUAUCAGUAUCCCAAGAGUGCUUCAGGUGCUGCAGUUCAGGCUGGUGUUCUAUCUGGAGAUGUGAGGGACAUUGUUCUUCUUGAUGUGUCACUUGGUUUGGAAACUUUUGGUGGUGUCAUGACCAAGAUCAUUUUAAGAAACACCACACUUCCAACUUCUAAAUCAGAAGUCUUCUCAACUGCUGCAGAUGGACAGACAAGCGUUGAGAUUAAUGUGUUUCAGGGUGAGAGAGAGAGUUCGUAAGAGAUAACAAGUCUAUUGGUAGCUUCCGUCUUGAUGGUAUCCCGCCUGCGCCACGUGGAGUUCCACAAAUCGAGAUCAAAUUUGAUAUUGAUGCCAAUGGAAUUCUAUCUGUCAGUGCUUCCGACAAAGGCACAGGAAAGAAGCAGGACAUCACCAUUACUAAUGCUAGUACCUUGACAAAGGA